GGAAGCAGUUGUCGUCCGAGAUGAUUGAACCAGCUUGUUGAAAUAUAUAUGAAUUGGGCACCUGCAAUAGCAUCUAAAAGCUAGUAGUGUGCACAUGGAAUCUGUAAGUUGAUAAUGUACACCUGUUGGACUUUGAUUGGAUUGUUAUACCUUUAUUGAUUCUCACGUGUAUAGUUAGCACAUGUUGAGCUAUUCUUUUCUUGCUCAUUGCUCCAAGGAGCGUAUAUAUUGUAUCUUGAUCAAUGUAUAAUUGUGGUCAAAACUUUAUAAUAUACAAAUUAGCUGCUAUUUUAUCUUGGUAUCAUAGCAUCAAUCACUAAAAUCGGAUCCAAUGAUAGUGUACAAUCAGCUCAACUAGUUUCAAGCACACUGAUGCCUUCAAAGUUUGGAGGAAAUCAGAUGCCAUCAUUUGGGAUAAGCCUGACCCAAAUUUCACAUAUGAAGGUUGACAGGAACAACUUCUUGGUGUGGAAGAACAUGGUUAUGCCCAUCAUUAAGGGUCAUAGUCUUAAAGGCUUCAUCUUGAGAACAAAAGGCUGUCCACCAAAAUUUCUGGCAACACAAACUAUUGGUUCUAUUGGCGUCACUGUUGAAAUGGCACCAAAUGUUGAAUAUGGAAAAUGGAUGUCUACUGAUCAACUACUGAUGGGUUAGCACUAUUCAUCAAUGACACCUGAGAUCAUUAUAAGAGUAAUGGGAUCUUGAAGCUCUUGCAAUCUCUGGAAUGCAGUCCAGAAAAGCUUUGGAUUUAUGAACAAAUUAAGAGUAACCUUCCUUAUCAGAGAACUUCAGAGGACAAGGAAAGGAUCGAUGAGUGUUGAUCAAUAUCUCAACAAAAUCAAGUAGCUAACGGAUAACCUUGAGAUUGUUGGAAAAAGUAUUCCUCACGGUGAUCUUGUCACUCUGGUGUUAACUAGGCUGGAUGAGGAAUUUAGUCCCAUUGUAGUUCAAAUCAACAGUAAAUAAUCUAUCUCUUGGCAUGAACUGCAGUCUGUACUCAUGACAUAUGAGAGUAGAAUUGACCUUCUUAAUGCUAUGAAGAACAGCCUGGCCUCUGUUGACUUGAGUCAAGCCUUAGCAAAUUUUGUGCACAAGUCAAACACAAAUAGAUGAGAUAUAUCUAACUAUGGUGGAAGAAAUAGCAACAGAAGUAGAGGAAGAAACAAAAGUGGAGGAGGCAGAAAAAUUGAAAGCAAGGAACCAGAUCAAAUUUGUGGAAUAAGUAAUCAUUUAGCUGAAAGAUGCUACAGCUCUUAUGAUGAGAUGUACAUGGGUACAAAACAUGAUCAGCACUAUCAAAAUAAUUCCUCAAGACCAACUGUCUUUGUAGCUUCAUCAAGCACUGUUACAGAUCCAGCUUUGUUUGCACACUCACGAGUAAGCAACCAUGUUACUGCUGAGAAAGGAAAUCUGAUUGAGGCACACGAGUAUGGUGGUAAGGGAAGUCUUGUUGUUGGUAAUGGAAGUAAACUUCAUGUCUUCCUUAUUAGCACUAAACACUUGAACUCACUGAAUGACAAAUCAUUGAUUCUCAGUAAUAUUCUACUAUUGUCGUCAAUUAAGAAGAAUUUGAUAAGUAUCUGACAAUGAACAUCUGAUAAUGGUGUAUUUAUGGAAUUUUACUUUGACGUUUGUGUUGUCAAGGACAAAAAAAAAGAAGGAAACGUUGCUGGAAGGGAAGCUUAAAGAUGGAUUGUAUCAGAUAAAGAGCCCAAAUCAAGUUAAAAGGUAUCAGAUUGAGCACCUAGGUCAAGUUAAAACGUUUACCUACCAAGAGUCAAUCUAUCCAAAUAAGUUGAACUCUUUAGCAUCUGUUGCAAAAUCCAAGUGUCUAAACGUGCCAGAGAGUACAAGUCUAAAUUGAAAUUGUGGCAUAUGAGACUUGGACAUCCUACAUAUCCUAUUAUGUCACAAAUACUCAAAUCAUGUAAUGAAAAAGUUCAUGUUAAUGAAAUUACUCAAUUUGGUGAUGCUUUUCAGUUUGGUAAAUCACAUUCUUUACCAUUCAAACUAUCUACCUCACAUACAUUAGCUCAUCUUGAUUUGAUCCAUACAGAUGUAUGGGGCCCUGUCCCCAUAAACUCAACUUGUGGCUUCAAGUAUUACAUCCCUUUCAUUGAUGACUACAGUAGAUAUACUUGGAUCUAUCCUAUGAGAAAUAAAUCAAAAGCCUUAAACAUGUUUACUCAAUUUAAAAACUUAGUUGAAAACAAGUUUGACAAGAAGAUAAAAGCACUUCAAUCAGAUUGGGGGAAUGAGUUUAGAGCAUUCACUAACUUAGCUCUACAAUAUGGUAUUGAUAUGAGGCUAUCCUGCCCUCACACCUCAGCUCAAAAAUGGUAGAGCGGAAAAAAAAACAUAGGUAUAUAAUAGAAACAGGAAUAACUCUCCUUACUCAAGCAUGCA
rnacentral:lncRNA from 1 species